UACAGAGGGCGCGAGCGUUGUCCGGAAUCACUGGGCGUAAAGGGCGCGUAGGUGGCCCGAUGAGUCAACGGUGAAAGCUCGAUGCUCAACAUCGAGUCGGCCGUCGAUACUGUCGGGCUGGAGCACUGUAGAGGCUCAUGGAAUUCCGGGUGUAGCGGUGGAAUGCGUAGAGAUCCGGAAGAACACCGGUGGCGAAGGCGGUGAGCUGGGCAGUAGCUGACACUGAGGCGCGACAGCGUGGGGAGCAAACAGG
rnacentral:rRNA from 1 species